UUCUUUUUCCCAUUCAUUGUAAACUCGCCCAAAACCAGAGAAACCUGUCACCCACACCGCUUCCUUCUUCCCCAAUCUCGUAUCCAAGCGUAUCCUCACAAUGUCUUAUUCAACACCCUGCAAGUUGAUUACCAGAGGUUUAGCUAAAAAUAUGGUAUUGGAGAAGAGAACAAAAUCUCGCCAUGACAGGUUCAAAGAAACCCAAGUUGAAAAAUCAUUGAAGGAAACAAGACUUCCCAUUGCGAAAAAGAGGGAAAAACAUAUUUCUGAAGCUUCAUCUGUCAAGAGGAAGGAGGUCGAAGCAAGUAAAAGCUCGGAUACACUGGA